CGGGGUGCAGCAGGCGCGAAAACUUUACAAUGCUGGAAACAGCGAUAAGGGGACCUCGAGUGCCAGGUUACAAAUCUGGCUGUCGUGAUGCCUAAAAAGCAUUGCAUAGCAAGGGCCGGGCAAGACCGGUGCCAGCCGCCGCGGUAACACCGGCGGCUCGAGUGGUAACCGUUAUUAUUGGGUCUAAAGGGUCUGUAGCCGGCCGGAUAAGUCUCUUGGGAAAUCCAGCAGCUCAACUGUUGGGCUUUCAGGAGAUACUGUCUGGCUCGAGGCCGGGAGAGGUGAGAUGUACUUCAGGGGUAGGGGUGAAAUCUUGUAAUCCUUGAAGGACCACCAGUGGCGAAGGCGUCUCACCAGAACGGACCUGACGGCAAGGGACGAAAGCUAGGGGCACGAACCGGAUUAGAUACCCGGGUAGUCCUAGCCGUAAACGAUACUCGCUAGGUGUCGGCCACGGUGCGACCGUUGUCGGUGCCGUAGGGAAGCCGUGAAGCGAGCCACCUGGGAAGUACGGCCGCAAGGCUGAAACUUAAAGGAAUUGGCGGGGGAGCA
rnacentral:rRNA from 1 species